rnacentral:lncRNA from 1 species
GAAAAAUCUCUCAAAAAAAAUUAGAGAAAGAGUGUGCUGUAGCAACUCCUUUAUAAUCCCUCAAAUUUCAUAAGUAAAAUCUCAUAUUUCUCCUAUCUCUAUCCAUCUAUAUCCAACAAUGGCUUAUCUUUCUAUUUAAAUUUUCCAAUUCUUGAUUUUUUGGUGCUUUUAUUUCCAUGUUGGACUAAUAUUUUUUAUGUGGCUGUUGUUGAUUAUUCUGAACAAUUUAUGAUCAUUUGCAUUGACAUCACUUCCAAUUUCAAUCCCCGUCAUUUUGGGUUUUUAAUUCUUAUGAUUUAUUUCGGGUUGGUGUCAGUCUUUUUUCCCUUUUUAUUGCCAAGAUUUUAAUCUUAGUACAGCUAUAGGUGAGAAGAAUCAGGAAAUUCUUUUUAAUACAAAACACGAUGAGUUUUCCUGAUCCUGCACAACAACCACCACUUUCUCCAUUUCUUCCUCUACCUUUUUCCGAUGGAGAUGUUGAUAGGUUUUGGCCUACACCUCCUAUGAAUGGUGUUGUUUCUCAAUUUGCGCAUCCCCCUCUCUUCAAGAGACCAAUGAAUUUUGAAAACAACCCAUCAAAUUUGCACCCUUUGCACAAAUGAAAUUCCUUGAUGAAAAGGAGAGGGCCAUAUAUUUUACGAGACUCGUAUUUUUGCAAAAUUCUUUGAAGGUACCUGUAAGAAUGGGAAGCAUUGCACAUAUGCUCAUGGUGUUGAAGAUUUACGGAAUCCCCCUCCAAAUUGGCACGAACUUGUACGAGGAAAGAAGAGAGGAACCGAGAAUUUUAGUGAUGACCAAAGAAUGACACACAGGAUGAAAAUUUGCUAUUUGUUUUACAAUGGGCAUGGGUGUCUAUAUGGAGAGAAAUGCAAAUUUCUUCAUGAACGUCCAAUGAAAUAUUUUGACUGACAUUUCAAGGCAAAAGAGAGAGAGUGUUGUUGAAAGUAUUGGAACUACAUGGCCUGGUUUGAUAAAUAAAAGUGAUUAUGCUCAGCCUGAUUAUGGUAAGAACGUCAGCAGCAGUUCCAACACUUUCCAAGCCAAGACAGCAUUUCGGAAAAUGAAACUAGGCUGCAUAUGGGAGAUCGGCCAAUGCCCUUUUAGAGAAACAUGUCAUUUUGCUCAUGACCGACUAUAUUUAAUCUCGUAGUACAAUUUAAAGCUCUAUUUUUGGGUCUAGUUAAAUACAAUUAAUGUUUUUCCUUUGAACUGAUCUUGCCGAUUUACCAUGUUUAGGGAGAUCCUUUUAUGACAUUAACAAGAAAAAGAAGAUUCUCAUUAAUUGGC